UACGAAGGGGGCUAGCGUUGCUCGGAAUCACUGGGCGUAAAGGGUGCGUAGGCGGGUCUUUAAGUCAGAGGUGAAAUCCUGGAGCUCAACUCCAGAACUGCCUUUGAUACUGAGGGUCUUGAGUAUGACAGAGGUGAGUGGAACUGCGAGUGUAGAGGUGAAAUUCGUAGAUAUCCGGAAGAACACCAGUGGCGAAGGCGACUUACUGGACACAUAUUGACGCUGAGGUGCGAAAGCGUGGGGAGCAAACAGG
rnacentral:rRNA from 1 species